AGUUGAAGGACGAUCUUGUGGGGAAUGAGAGUCUAAAGAAGGAGAAGUAUCACAUAAAAAAGGAAUAUCAACAGUAGCAGGUAAAGGUACAGAACUAGAAGAUAAAUGUGAAAAGUAAAACAAAGAUUCAUCAAAAGUGACAUCAAUAGAGAUGAAAUGACGGUUGAGGGAAGGGGAAAAACACUUAUAUGUGAUGUGAAUGCAUGAUAAAUUUUUAAGCGGUAUGUUGUUGAAGGCAUAAAUUAGGUUUUAGUAACUUAAGUUGCA
rnacentral:lncRNA from 1 species